AGUGAACGCUGGCGGUAGGCCUAACACAUGCAAGUCGAACGGCAGCACAGUAAGAGCUUGCUCUUACGGGUGGCGAGUGGAGGACGGGUGAGGAAUACAUCGGAAUCUACUUUUUCGUGGGGGAUAACGUAGGGAAACUUACGCUAAUACCGCAUACGACCUACGGGUGAAAGCAGGGGAUCUUCGGACCUUGCGCGAUUGAAUGAGCCGAUGUCGGAUUAGCUAGUUGGCGGGGUAAAGGCCCACCAAGGCGACGAUCCGUAGCUGGUCUGAGAGGAUGAUCAGCCACACUGGAACUGAGACACGGUCCAGACUCCUACGGGAGGCAGCAGUGGGGAAUAUUGGACGAUGGGCGCAAGCCUGCUCCAGCCAUACCGCGUGGGUGAAGAAGGCCUUCGGGUUGUAAAGCCCUUUUGUUGGGAAAGAAAAGCAGCAGGUUAAUACCCCGCUGUUCUGACGGUACCCAAAGAAUAAGCACCGGCUAACUUCGUG
rnacentral:rRNA from 1 species